UGGAAGUAAAAGUCGUAACAAGGUCUCCGUUGGUGAACCAGCGGAGGGAUCAUUAUAGAGUUAACAAAACAACUCCCAACCCUUUGUGAACCUUACCUACCGUUGCUUCGGCGGACCGCCCCGGGCGCUGCGUGCCCCGGACCCAAGGCGCCCGCCGGGGACCACACGAACCCUGUUUAACAAACAUGUGUAUCCUCUGAGCGAGCCGAAAGGCAACAAAACAAAUCAAAACUUUCAACAACGGAUCUCUUGGUUCUGGCAUCGAUGAAGAACGCAGCGAAAUGCGAUAAGUAAUGUGAAUUGCAGAAUUCAGUGAAUCAUCGAAUCUUUGAACGCACAUUGCGCCCGCCAGUAUUCUGGCGGGCAUGCCUGUCCGAGCGUCAUUUCAACCCUCGGGCCCCCCCCUUUUCCCCUCGCGGGGGAGGGGGCGGGCCCGGCGUUGGGGCCCAGGCGUCCUCCAAGGGCGCCUGUCCCCGAAACCCAGUGGCGGCCUCGCCGCUGCCUCCUCCGCGUAGUAGCACAAACCUCGCGGGCGGAAGGCGGCGCGGCCACGCCGUAAAACCCCAAACUUUUACCAAGGUUGACCUCGGAUCAGGUAGGAAUACCCGCUGAACUUAAGCAUAUCAAUAAGCGGAGGA
rnacentral:misc_RNA from 1 species